CGUCGGCGAUGGUGCGGAUGACACCGGUGUUCUUGCGGACCGCCUUGGUCGAGAGUUUGGCGAUCUGUUGUUCGAUUUGUUCGAUGACGU
rnacentral:tRNA from 1 species